rnacentral:rRNA from 1 species
CCUACGGGAGGCAGCAGUAGGGAAUAUUGGGCAAUGGAGGCAACUCUGACCCAGCCAUGCCGCGUGAACGAAGAAGGCGCUAUGCGUCGUAAAGUUCUUUUAGAGGGGGCGAAAACACUUGAUUCAUCAAGUACUGACGGUACCUUCGGAAUAAGCACCGGCUAACUCUGUGCCAGCAGCCGCGGUAAUACAGAGGGUGCAAGCGUUAUCCGGAAUCACUGGGUUUAAAGGGUGCGUAGGCGGGAUUAUAAGUCAGAGGUGAAAUCUCGUCGCUUAACGACGGAAUUGCCUUUGAUACUGUUUUUCUUGAAAUUUGUUGAGGUUGGCGGAAUGAGACAUGUAGCGGUGAAAUGCUUAGAUAUGUCUUAGAACACCGAUUGCGAAGGCAGCUGACUGGACAAUAUUUGACGCUGAGGCACGAAAGCGUGGGGAUCAAACAGGAUUAGAUACCCUGGUAGUCCACGCCCUAAACGAUGUUUACUUGCUGUUUGUCUUUCGGGAUGAGUGGCGAAGCGAAAGCGAUAAGUAAACCACCUGGGGAGUACGCCCGCAAGGGUGAAACUCAAAGGAUUGACGGCUGAGNGNGCGAGCGACGACGAGGGAGGAGG